rnacentral:lncRNA from 1 species
GAGACGGCGCUCAGGGCUCAAAGUCCAGGGCUCAGGACAGCAAAAAACCAGAUUGCCGGGGGAGUGUUUAAUCUGCUCAGGGCGUCUGGGCACCUGUGCACCCUGAGCCUCCAUAUCAUCCGCCCAGCCAUCGCCCGCAGCCCCAAAAGCAGCCUCCUUCCCCAGAGGUAAACUGAGUCCCAAGAGAUGACAGGAGCCCUUCCAAAGGGCUGUUACGAAUGCUUUAAUGCAGGCCAUUGGGAAGCAGCUCUCAGCUGGCAGUGGGGAGAAGCAGGUGGAGCCAUGAGAUCGUGGAGGAUUGCGGGUGUCUCCUCAACCAGGGAUGCUCUCCGAGUAUAAGAAGAAUCACCAGGCAGGGACCAAGCUCAGGAAGAGGGGUG